rnacentral:rRNA from 1 species
UACACGACCGCACCGCAAACCGACACUGGUGCGCGAGAUGAGUAUUCUAAGGCGCUUGAGAGAACUCAGGAGAAGGAACUCGGCAAAUUGACACCGUAACUUCGGAAGAAGGUGUGCCUUUAGUAGGUGAAGGGAUUUACUCCUAGAGCCCAAUGAGGUUGCAAAAAAUCGGUGGCUGCGACUGUUUAUUAAAAACACAGCACUCUGCAAACACGAAAGUGGACGUAUAGGGUGUGACGCCUGCCCGGUGCUGGAAGAUUAAAUGAUGGGGUGCAAGCUCUUGAUUGAAGUCCCAGUAAACGGCGGCCGUAACAAUAACGGUCCUAAGGUAGCGAAAUUCCUUGUCGGGUAAGUUCCGACCUGCACGAAUGGCGUAACGAUGGCCACACUGUCUCCUCCUGAGACUCAGCGAAGUUGAAAUGUUUGUGAUGAUGCAAUCUCCCCGCGGAAAGACGGAAAGACCCCAUGAACCUUUACUGUAGCUUUGUAUUGGACUUUGAACAGAUCUGUGUAGGAUAGGUGGGAGGCUUUGAAGUAGGGUCGCUAGAUCUUAUGGAGCCAACGUUGAAAUACCACCCUGGUGUGUUUGAGGUUCUAACCUAGGUCCAUUAUCUGGAUCGGGGACAGUGCAUGGUAGGCAGUUUGACUGGGGCGGUCUCCUCCCAAAGCGUAACGGAGGAGUUCGAAGGUACGCUAGUUACGGUCGGACAUCGUGACGAUAGUGCAAUGGCAUAAGCGUGCUUAACUGCGAGACUGACAAGUCGAGCAGAUGCGAAAGCAGGACAUAGUGAUCCGGUGGUUCUGUAUGGAAGGGCCAUCGCUCAACGGAUAAAAGGUACUCUGGGGAUAACAGGCUGAUACCGCCCAAGAGUUCAUAUCGACGGCGGUGUUUGGCACCUCGAUGUCGGCUCAUCUCAUCCUGGGGCUGUAGCCGGUCCCAAGGGUAUGGCUGUUCGCCAUUUAAAGAGGUACGUGAGCUGGGUUUAAAACGUCGUGAGACAGUUUGGUCCCUAUCUUCCGUGGGCGCUGCAGAUUUGAGGAAGCCUGCUCCUAGUACGAGAGGACCGGAGUGGACACACCUCUGGUGUAUCGGUUGUCACGCCAGUGGCAUUGCCGAGUAGCUAAGUGUGGAAGAGAUAACCGCUGAGAGCAUCUAAGCGGGAAACUCGUUUCAAGAUGAGAUCUGCCGGGGCCUUGAGCCCCCUAAAGAGUCGUUCAAGACCAGGACGUUGAUAGGUCGGGUGUGGAAGCGCAGUAAUGCGUUAAGCUAACCGAUACUAAUUGCUCGUGCGGCUUGACCCU